rnacentral:rRNA from 1 species
GACGAACGCUGGCGGCGUGCUUAACACAUGCAAGUCGAACGGAAAGGCCCUGCUUUUGUGGGGUGCUCGAGUGGCGAACGGGUGUGAAACACGUGAGUAACCUGCCCUUGACUUUGGGAUAACUUCAGGAAACUGGGGCUGAUACCGGAUAGGAGCUCCUGCUGCAUGGUGGGGGUUGGAAAGUUUCGGCGGUUGGGGAUGGACUCGCGGCUUAUCAGCUUGUUGGUGGGGUAGUGGCUUACCAAGGCUUUGACAGGUAGCCGGCCUGAGAGGGUGACCGGCCACAUUGGGACUGAGAUACGGCCCAGACUCCUACGGGAGGCAGCAGUGGGGAAUAUUGCACAAUGGGCGGAAGCCUGAUGCAGCAACGCCGCGUGCGGGAUGACGGCCUUCGGGUUGUAAACCGCUUUCGCCUGUGACGAAGCGUGAGUGACGGUAAUGGGUAAAGAAGCACCGGCUAACUACGUG